GCCAUUUUCAGAGUUCUUGUGAGAAUACCUAGACCUGAAAUGUGGAAUCAAAAUUUGCCUGGAAUUCUCACUUGUGAAAAGAAUGAUGAUGUGAAAUAUAUGGAACACUGAAAACAUAGCAACCCACUUUGAAGCAACCUUUAAAAGCUAAACAAAAAUUGUGAGCAGGGCACAGUGUGGUCACUCUUCAGAUGUUAGAAAUAAUGUACAGAGGUGUUCAUCUGAACUCAAUAGAAAAGGCAGGUGUCUGUCGAAUUAUACUGAUGGAAAUAACUGGUCAAUUCAGUCCAACAACUGGUCAGUGACUACUCCAUUCCAGGACUCAGAAAAUGAACCAUUGGUGUGUAAAAGCUCCAAGAAGAAAUGCGCACAUCUGAAUGACUCUGACAACCUCUCCUUCAGUUCCGCUGUUAACACUGAAAGUAGACUUGU